rnacentral:rRNA from 1 species
AACGAACGCUGGCGGCAGGCUUAACACAUGCAAGUCGAACGCAUCGCAAGAUGAGUGGCAGACGGGUGAGUAACGCGUGGGAACAUACCCUUUUCUACGGAAUAGCUCUGGGAAACUGGAAUUAAUACCGUAUACGCCCUACGGGGGACAGAUUUAUCGGGGAAGGAUUGGCCCGCGUUGGAUUAGCUAGUUGGUGGGGUAAAGGCCUACCAAGGCGACGAUCCAUAGCUGGUCUGAGAGGAUGAUCAGCCACAUUGGGACUGAGACACGGCCCAAACUCCUACGGGAGGCAGCAGUGGGGAAUAUUGGACAAUGGGCGCAAGCCUGAUACAGCCAUGCCGCGUGAGUGAUGAAGGCCUUAGGGUUGUAAAGCUCUUUCACCGAUGAAGAUAAUGACGGUAGUCGGAGAAGAAGCCCCGGCUAACUUCGUGCCAGCCGCCGCGGUAAAAC